rnacentral:tRNA from 1 species
GGCGUUGUGGCUCAAUGGAGAGCGCUCGCCUACCAUGCGUGAGGCACCAGGUUCGAUCCUCAGUACCA